GUAAUAAUUAAAAACAAUACUCAAAUAGAAAUGAUACAGAGAAUACCCUGGCCCCUGUGCAAGGAUGACAUGCAUUUUUGUGUCUCAUUCCAUGUUUUU
ensembl:snRNA U6 U6 spliceosomal RNA